CCGGCUUCCUCAUCACACGCUUGACGUGACGAAUUCCAGUGACAUACGCAGCUUGUCGAGAAGUGUGUUUGUUUAGCGAAAAACAAAACGCUCGGAGAUCAAAUUCCGAAUCAAAAUGGUGUCUGUGAAUGUGGACGGCAGUCUGUUCAGGGAAUCGUGGCGACGCUGUGUAUUCCCGAGCAAGGCACUGGAGAGGGAUAAUCUUCCAGAGCGCGCAGGAGGAUGUAGCCUUCAAUGACGUAACGAAACACAGAAUGCUCAGGGUGAGUGGCAAACGCAUCCCUUAUACCUCGGCAUCACGCACCUCGACGCUGAAUGAGGGCAGACAGAGAGGGAGUCUUCGCGGAGGAACUUUGUAGGCGCGGUAAAGAGCAGGGGAAGGAGAACUAAGCCGCCGCCUCCUUUGUUUGCUACCUGCGCUAAGGUGAUCCCGCUACCUCCUGUGGCCGCGGCGGCUUCAGAAUAGGAAAACGGUGGCCGAGUAUUUAACGCACGGACCAGGGCGAAAAGGGUCACAAGCUCGUCCCGCUGACUGCCUGAUUCCGUCCGCCGUCCUCGUGGCAAAAGAUAUAGGAAUGCCACCUACUUGUGCUGAGGGAGUCCAUAACAACAUGGGGCCAAGCUAAUUUACCGGAAGACUUCUUGACGUGCCUUACCAUUGUUCAGCACUACACGACCAAGAUAGGGAUGACCAGCCCCCUCUUCCAGUCAGGAGGAAUGGUACUAGAUUCCCAUCCAAAAGUCAAGACCACAUGCAACCUAAGGAUCAUGGCCUCACCUCCAUCUUUGAGCAUCUUUACACUAAUGUUACAAAUACCAGCUGCCUUUCCACAGCCUCUCUGACCUCUUCAAGAGAGGGUAAGCUUUUGUCAAUGGGUGGAUCAGCAUCCCUCAUUUGCAAUCCAACAGUUAUUAGCUGCCUGCUCAGAGGGUCUGCCAUGUACAACC